rnacentral:piRNA from 1 species
UGAUUUCGGGCCAGGCUAUAUUGCCUC